UACGUAGGGUGCGAGCGUUGUCCGGAAUUAUUGGGCGUAAAGAGCUCGUAGGCGGUGUGUCACGUCGGCCGUGAAAACCUGCAGCUUAACUGUGGGCGUGCGGUCGAUACGGGCAUCACUGGAGUUCGGCAGGGGAGACUGGAAUUCAUGGUGUAGCAGUGAAAUGCGCAGAUAUCAGGAGGAACACCGGUGGCGAAGGCGGGUCUCUGGGCCGAUACUGACGCUGAGGAGCGAAAGCGUGGGGAGCGAACAGG
rnacentral:rRNA from 1 species